GCUUCUCGCUUCCGCAACACAUAGUAAAAUUGGAGCGAUACAGAGAUUAACAUGGCCCCUGAGCAAGAAUGACACGCAAAUUCAUGAAGCGUUCCAUACAUUU